CAAUAGCGUAUAUUAAAGCUGUUGCGGUUAAAAAGCUCGUAGUUGGAUUUCUGUCAAGGACAACUGGUCCGCCCUCCGGGUGAGCACAUAGUUUGGUCUUGGCAUCUUGCUGGAAACUGUUGCUGCGCUUGGUUGUGUGGUGCAGCUUUCAGCACCUUCACUUUGAGGAAAUUGGAGUGUUUCAAGCAGGCACAUGCCUUUGGACACAGUAGCAUGGAAUAAUUAGAUUGGGCUUUUGCUCCAACUUGUUGGUUCCUGGAGCUGAGGUGAGAAUCAAUGGGGAUUGUUGGGGGCAUCCGAAUUUAGCCGUCAGAGGUGAAAUUCUUGGAUCUGCUAAAGACGGACAACUGCGAAAGCGUUUGCCCAGGAUGUUUUCAUUGA
rnacentral:rRNA from 1 species